UACAGAGGGGGCAAGCGUUGUUCGGAAUUACUGGGCGUAAAGGGCGCGUAGGCGGCCCGCUAAGUCGAACGUGAAAUCCCCGAGCUCAACUCGGGAACUGCGUCCGAUACUGGUGGGCUUGAAUCCGGGAGAGGGAUGCGGAAUUCCAGGUGUAGCGGUGAAAUGCGUAGAUAUCUGGAGGAACAUCAGUGGCGAAGGCGGCUACCUGGCCCAAUACUGACACUCAGGUGCGACAGCGUGGGGAGCAAACAGG
rnacentral:rRNA from 1 species